GAUGAAGAACGUAGCGAAAUGCGAUACUUGGUGUGAAUUGCAGAAUCCCGUGAACCAUCGAGUCUUUGAACGCAAGUUGCGCCCGAAGCCAUUAGGCCGAGGGCACGCCUGCCUGGGUGUCACACACCGUUACCCUCGCGCCAACGUCCAUCGUUGGCCGCGGCGCGGGGCGUGCGCUGACCUCCCGCGAGCGGGGUCUCGUGGUUGGUUGAAAAUCGAGUUCGCGGUCGAGGGUGCCGUGAUGAAAUGGUGGAUGGGCGACGCCCGAGGCCAAUCACGCGCGACUCUGUCCGGCCCGGACUCCUGGACCCCUUCGGCGUCUCCGGACGCUCUUUGGCGAGACCUCAGGUCAGGCGGGGCUACCCGCUGAGUUUAAGCAUAUCAAUAGCGGAGGA
rnacentral:misc_RNA from 1 species